rnacentral:tRNA from 1 species
GCUCAGUGAGUAGAACAUGUGACUCUUGAUCUCAGGGUUGUGAGUUCGAGCCCCACAUUGAGCA